UACGAAGGUGGCAAGCGUUACUCGGAAUUACUAGGCGUAAAGGGCAGGUAGGCGGUUUGAUAAGUCUGUUGUGAAAGCUCCCGGCUUAACUGGGAGAGGUCAACAGAUACUGUCGAACUUGAGUAUGGGAGAGGGUACUGGAAUUCCUGGUGUAGCGGUGAAAUGCGCAGAUAUCUGGAGGAACACCGGUGGCGAAGGCGGCAUCCUGGACCGACACUGACACUGAGGAGCGAAAGCCAGGGGAGCAAACGGG
rnacentral:rRNA from 1 species